UACGUAGGGGGCAAGCGUUGUCCGGAUUUAUUGGGCGUAAAGAGCGUGUAGGCGGUUUGGUAGGUCCGCUGUGAAAACUCGAGGCUCAACCUCGAGACGCCGGUGGAAACCAUCAGACUAGAGUCCGGAAGAGGAGAGUGGAAUUCCUGGUGUAGCGGUGAAAUGCGCAGAUAUCAGGAAGAACACCCCGUGGCUAAGGCGGCUCUCUAGUACGGUACUGGACGCUGAGACGCGAAAGCGUGGGGAGCGAACAGG
rnacentral:rRNA from 1 species